UGCCAUUAUUGAAAUUUGGGGUUUGAAGUAUGCAUAUAUUUCAAAAACUUAAUUUUUUAAACACCGCAGUAGAGAAUAAGAUUAAAAUAAUUUUAAUCUAAAUUUUACAUGCAUAAAAAUAUAAAAUCACAUGAAUCUAUUUCAUAUGCUAAAAUUGAUAUAUGUCAAAAUUUAAAUUAUGAUCAAAUCACAUAUCUUUUUUGCAACUCCUUUCUUUAAAUCUAGAUCUAGAAGAGACGAGGCCCUCUGUAAGCCAUACAAGUGUCCAGUCUCUACGUGUAUACACUCGGGAUUAGCCUGGAAUAUUCUUUUAAGAUUUAAAUUUUGAUUCUUCAAAAUUCAGCUUGCUGAAUUUGAAUGAAGUCUGGAUCACGAUCAACAUUUGAUCUUUCUUCUUGAUCCUUAUCUUCUCUUCCCCUCUAGCCUUUCUCCUUGCCUUGUAGUGCUAUAAGAGACCACCAACC
rnacentral:lncRNA from 1 species